rnacentral:rRNA from 1 species
GUUACCGUGAAAAAAUUAGAGUGUUCAAAGCAGGCAGAUCCAAUUUUCUGCCACCGAAUACAUUAGCAUGGGAUAAUGGAAUAGGACCCUGUCCUCCUAUUUUCAGUUUGGGUUUUGGCAGCGCGAGGACUAGGGUAAUGAUUAAUAGGGAUAGUUGGGGGCAUUAAUAUUUAAUUGUCAGAGGUGAAAUUCUUGGAUUUAUGAAAGAUUAACUUCUGCGAAAGCAUCUGCCAAGGAUGUUUUCAUUAAUCAAGAACGAAAGUUAGGGGAUCGAAGACGAUCAGAUACCGUCGUAGUCUUAACCAUAAACGAUGCCGACCAGCGAUUAGGAGACGUUGAAUACAAAACACCACCAUCGGUGCGGUCGUCCUUGGCGUCGGUCUUUCGGGGCCGGCGCGGGGACGGCUUAGCCCGGUGGCACCGGUGAAUGACUCCCUAGCACCUUUGUGAGAAAA